rnacentral:lncRNA from 1 species
GUCACAAAAGACUUCCUAGUCACCUCCCCUCUUUUUAUAUUACUCCCUCCCAUGUUUUUCUUUAGAUUUUAAAACUAGAUAAAAUCAGGCCUUCCGUUAGAUUACCUGAAUUCUUUCAGGUGACGAGAAUCUCUGAGGCUUAAUUCAUUUAAAUAAACUUCAUUUUCCUACUGCCUUUGGCCAGGUGCCUUCGGAGGCCUGUUUGACAGAAUAGUUUCCGCUCCUGGGGGAGAGUGACCUGUUGUCAUCAAAGUGACCUACCACGAGAUAGAAGAAAUGUCUGAGAGGCUAGUUCUGCCUUUGGACACUUGGUGGCGCUCUAGCUUUAUGAAUGGCUCAAGCCGCUUCUGUUUGCUCCUGGGAAGUCUCCUUCCCUUUCCGCAGCUCGGUGGUGUGGUUUCAGAAUCAGAGGCAUUGUGUUCUGCGGAAGGUCAUAUGGAAAGUUCGAUGGCUGAUUGGAUUAGAAUAUGUACAGCUCAUCAAGAUGAAAGAAAAAGAAUAUGGAAGAAAGACUUCAAAAGCUUCUCAAGACUGAAAGACCUACUCCUCUACCAGCCAGAGUUGUCUUCUCCUCAAGAUUCCAAUCUCCUGGGGCCCAUUCCUCUGUCGAAGUGAUCAGUUUCACACACUCUUCAGCCCAGCACUUUUUCUUUAGUGCCAGCUUCUGUCACACAGGAUAACCCUGAGUUUCAAAACUAAUGGUGUAUAUAAAUAAUGGGAUGCUAAACAGACAACAUAAGAGACUUAUUGCAGAACCAGAGAUCAUCCGGUUCUAUUUAUAUAACUGGCAUCAACAAAAAAGGUAAGGGGAUGAAUUUCAACUUUGAUGCUUUCAAUAUAUCCAUGAUCUUACUAAUGGUUCUUCCACUAACAAUAUAGGUCACAGUCCCUUAUGAAUGAGUAUCUUGGAAAUUUUCUACAGAAGCUCAAAUAGUCCAUAUGAUAUAUGGAAGACAUACA